rnacentral:lncRNA from 1 species
AUGUUUUCUGGAGCAUUUUUUAUAUUAUCAGAGACUACGAAAUAUUUUAAAAAAUGUCUUCCACAUGUGAUUUUUGAUUGCUUGGAUAACGAAGACCUUUCUUGUGUUUUUCAGGGAGAAAUUGGAGGAAAUGGAGGCACCUUACAGGAAAAAUUACCAAAGAGGGACAGUUCAGGCUUUGCAGAGACUGGGCUGAAGGUGCAUCUAGCUGAUAAGAAAGUUCAAUGGUCAUGCAGGUAAGGUAAAGUUUACAUUCCAUUGUUUCUUUGAGUUUGAUGUAGUUUGUAGUCUAGCACACCACU